rnacentral:rRNA from 1 species
GACGAACGCUGGCGGCGUGCUUAACACAUGCAAGUCGAACGGACUGAAAGAAAAGCUUGCUUUUCUGGACGUUAGUGGCGGACGGGUGAGUAACGCGUGGGUAACCUGCCUUUAAGAGGGGGAUAACACUCCGAAAGGAGUGCUAAUACCGCAUAACAUCAGAUUAUUGCAUGAUAGACUGAUCAAAGGAGAAAUCCGCUUAAAGAUGGACCCGCGUCUGAUCAGCUAGUUGGUGAGGUAACGGCUCACCAAGGCGACGAUCAGUAGCCGGCCUGAGAGGGUGAUCGGCCACACUGGGACUGAGACACGGCCCAGACUCCUACGGGAGGCAGCAGUGGGGAACCUUCCGCAAUGGGCGCAAGCCUGACGGAGCAACGCCGCGUGAGUGAAGAAGGUUUUCGGAUUGUAAAACUCUGUCUUCAGGGAAGAAACAAAUGACGGUACCUGAGGAGGAAGCCCCGGCUAACUACGUGCCAGCCGCCGCAGUAA